rnacentral:siRNA from 1 species
AGCCGUAUCUACCAGAGUUUCGCC